AUGGGGAAGAGGGAGGCCGCGGCGGCGGCGCCUGGGCCCGACAAGCCCGAACCCCACGGAGCUGCAGAGAAGCGGGCAAGGAGUGGCCACGGUGACGAGACGGCCGACGAUUUCAUCAGCGGGCUCCCCGAUGUCGUCCUUGGCUCCAUCAUCUCCCUCCUCCCCACCAAGGACGGCGGCCGCACGCCGGUCCUCUCCCGCCGAUGGCGCCACCUGUGGCGCUCCGCGCCUCUCAAUCUCGCGGCCACCCUCGCCCCCGUCCGCACCUCCUCCCGUUGCGUCCCCGCCCGCACCUCCUUCCGCGUCCUACCCUCCGCCGUCUCCGAGAUAAUCUCACAGCACCCUGGCCCUGCCCGCCGGUUUUACUUGCGUUGCCCCGGCGCCGGAGACCCAGGCGCCGACGACCUCUGCGCCCAGGCGGAGAGCUGGCUUCACUCCCCGGCACUCGCCAACCUCGAGGAGCUCGAUAUCAGCUACGCCAACCCCCAGCUGCUGCCAUCUGCGCUCCGCUCUGCAUCCACCCUCCUCGUUGCCAAGAUGAGCCAUUGUGGUUUCCCCAACGAGAUCGGGCCGUCCAUGAACUUCCCCCUCCUCAAGCAGCUCUCCUUGAUGGACGUUUACAUCUCGGAGGAUGUCUUCCACGAUUUGCUCUCUGGUUGCCAUGCCUUGGAGAGUCUUUACGUGUCCAAAGUUUUUGGUGUGAGAUGCCUCCGUAUUAGCUCGCCGAAAAUCAGGAGCAUCGGCUUCUAUUUCCAUAGCUCCAAACAAAAAGGAGAACUGGUCAUCGAGGAUGCUCCUCGGCUUGUAAGGUUACUAAUACCUUAUUAUGGUGCCUAUGACGAUGAUUGUGUUACUAUCCGGGUAGUUAGGGCGCCUAAACUGGAGAUAUUGGGCCCUUUGCUACUCGUCGUCUCCAAGCUCCUAGUCUCCCAGGUAGGAAUAAGCCCAGUCAGCUCGGCAAACUCAAUGCGCACCGUCAAGAUUUUGGCUCUCAGGUCUUCUGGCCAUGAAUUGGACCCAGUUCUUAACAUCCUCAGGCGGUUUCCUUGUCUGGAACAGCUCUAUGUCAUUUUUCACAAACACAAUGAGCAGGAUAAGAAAAAUGGGCCUCGGUAUGACCCACUACAUCCAAUUGAAUGCCUUCAAACCCAUCUCAAGAGAGUGGUGUUUCGGCCAUUCACGGGCAAUGACAAACAGUAUGAAUUCGCCAGGUUCUUUGUUUUGAAUGCAGUAGUGUUAAACAAAGUUGAAUUCGAAGGAUUCGGUGACUACAACAGUGUAUCGUUGGCUUAUCAACACAGUUUUCUACAAGUAGAAAACAGAGCUUCUCGAGAUGCUCAAUUUGAAUUCAGGAGAUAUAUUCGUACCGAGCACCAGUUCGUAGAGCACAUCCAUGAUUUGUCAGUGGUUGACCCGUUCAGCAGCCAUAGCCAAGAUUGA
rnacentral:rRNA from 1 species